rnacentral:rRNA from 1 species
AGAGUUUGAUCAUGGCUCAGAACUAACGCUGGCGGCGUGCCUAAUACAUGCAAGUCGAACGCGAAAGUCCUUCGGGAUGAGUAGAGUGGCGCACGGGUGAGUAACACGUGGGUAAUCUGCCUAGAGAUGGGGAAUAACCUCUCGAAAGAGAGGCUAAUACCGCAUAAGACCACAGCUACUACGGUAGUAGGGGUUAAAAGUGAUCACUGUUUACAAAUUAUUGUCUCUAGAUGAGCCUGCGCAGCAUUAGCUAGUUGGUGGGGUAAUGGCCUACCAAGGCUACGAUGCUUAGCUGGUCUGAGAGGAUGAUCAGCCACACUGGAACUGAGACACGGUCCAGACUCCUACGGGAGGCAGCAGUAGGGAAUAUUGCUCAAUGGGGGAAACCCUGAAGCAGCAACGCCGCGUGAGUGAUGAAGGCCUUCGGGUCGUAAAGCUCUGUUGUACGGGAAGAACGCGGAUAUGGCUAACAUCCAUAUCCAGUGACGGUACCGUAUAAGAAAGGACCGGCUAACUUCGUGCCAGCAGCCGCGGUAAGACGGGGGGUCCUAGCGUUGUUCGGAAUCAUUGGGCGUAAAGCGUGUGCAGGUGGUCUUGAAAGUUGGAUGUGAAAGCCCCGGGCUUAACUCGGGAAGUGCAUUCAAAACUACAAGACUUGAGUAAGGAAGAGGUUCGUGGAAUUCCUGGUGUAGUGGUGAAAUACGUAGAUAUCAGGAGGAACACCGGCGGCGAAGGCGGCGAACUGGUCCUAUACUGACACUCAUACACGAAAGCGUGGGGAUCAAACAGGAUUAGAUACCCUAGUAGUCC